rnacentral:lncRNA from 1 species
UUUGAUCAGUGCAAUUUGAAGAGUUUGGCGCUGGUAGCAAUUAAUCUGAAAGGGAGUUAUGAUCAGAGUAGAAGAAAGGAUUAGAAUUCUAGAGAGAAGGUUGGAAGGUUUAGAGAGAAGGAGGAGAAAAUGGUGUUUCUGAAAGUUGAGUUUUGAGGAAGAAGAAAGGUUGCAAAGAGAAAGUGGUGUCAGAUUUAAAAUCCCACUUUAAAUAUGGUCACCAAAAUGGACGCUCGAUCCACUCACUCCAUGUCACAUGACUUCCACUAUCUGGAAAAUCACAUUUCCUUUACAGCCACACGUUUACCGAUGGCGGGGAAUUAAAUGACUGACAGGUUUUGUCUUCCACUUGCAUGGAGAAACUGGAAGGACGUGACAAGUGUACUCCACUAAAGUGAAGUAUUAAAUGGGGCGUGACAAAACUAAUGACCAAAAAUAUCAUAUUUGAAUUAGAUCACAUAAAAGGAAAAUAAAUUGUAGUUAAAGGUAGAAAAAAUAUCUUUAAAAUAUGAGUAAAUUUAUUAAUAGUAAAUAAGUUAAAAAUUAAACAGAAAAAGUAAAGCCAUGCAGUGUAUAUAGCAAUGAAGAGAAAGUUUUAAAUGUG